rnacentral:lncRNA from 1 species
CCUGUGUAUCCUACAAGGUACUAUUUGUGGAAAUCAAAAUGAACAGGUGUUCAUCUCCUAAUUGAAAUCUAGCACAGCUCUCGGCUGCCACAUUUCCGAGUCCAGCUGCACGGCUUGUGCUGGGGAUGAUAGGGUACAACAAAACGCUUUGCCAUUAUCAUUUAUCCUCCAGAGUGUGGGCGUAAAUAAUGUGCCCACAUUUGUGAAACUCAGAGGGAUCUCCAUGGAAACGCUUAAUCGCUGACAUUUAAACUCCUGGUGCUGAUAAGGAAAGCUGCUGCCUCUGACCUAUUGAGAACAGUUUAUCAAGUCCAGGCUUCCCAAGGCUCACCCUACACCCUGGCUUUUUGAAUUUGCCUCAACUGGAUAGCUCUCACCACAAGUACCUCAUUGUUCCUUAAAGCAAUGGCCAUCCCCCAAGUGAAGGACAUCAGUGAAAGGAGCAGACUUACUAAAAGCACAUCGCCACCAUAGAAAGUCAUCCAACUGUUGAAUAGGAUAGAGCACAGAGAAAUCUACUAUCUUGAGGAGAAGAUAACUGACAUCAAAAUAAGAUUGAACGUCCUUGUAAUAAAUUUGGAAUUAUGAAAAAGAGCUUAAGCUACUUGAGGUACUUCCAACGUCCUCAGUUUGCCUGGCAAUAUUCACCAAAUGGCAAGCCAGGAGGCAAAGAUUUACAUUCACUUAACUGA